GACGUAGGGGGCAAGCGUUAUUCGGAAUUAUUGGGCGUAAAGCGCUCGUAGGCGGGACUGGAAGUCCGUGUUGAAAGACCUCGGCUCAACUGAGGGACCGGCUCGGAUACUCUAGUUCUUGAGGCAAUCAGAGGGUGAUGGAAUUCCCGGUGUAGCGGUGAAAUGCGUAGAUAUCGAGAGGAACACCAGUGGCGAAGGCGAUCACCUGGGGUUGUUCUGACGCUGAGGAGCGAAAGCUAGGGGAGCAAACGGG
rnacentral:rRNA from 1 species